rnacentral:rRNA from 1 species
GCCUCCCUCCGCGCCAUCAGACUCCUACGGAGGGCAGCAGUAGGGAAUAUUGCACAAUGGAGGAAACUCUGAUGCAGCGACGCCGCGUGUGUGAAGAAGGCCUUCGGGUUGUAAAGCACUUUCAGCGAGGAGGAAGGCGUUGCAGUUAAUAGCUGCAACGAUUGACGUUACUCGCAGAAGAAGCACCGGCUAACUCCGUGCCAGCAGCCGCGGUAAUUC